rnacentral:rRNA from 1 species
GUUUGAUCCUGGCUCAGGACGAACGCUGGCGGCGUGCUUAACACAUGCAAGUCGAGCGGUAAGGCCCUUCGGGGUACACGAGCGGCGAACGGGUGAGUAACACGUGAGCAACCUGCCCCCGACACCGGGAUAAGCCGUGGAAACGCGGUUUAAUACCGGAUACGACACGCCCCCGCAUGGGGUGCGUGUGGAAAGGGUUUCUGGUCGGGGAUGGGCUCGCGGCCUAUCAGCUUGUUGGUGGGGUAACGGCCUACCAAGGCGAUUACGGGUAGCCGGCCUGAGAGGGCGACCGGCCACACUGGGACUGAGACACGGCCCAGACUCCUGCGGGAGGCAGCAGUGGGGAAUAUUGCGCAAUGGGCGGAAGCCUGACGCAGCGACGCCGCGUGGGGGAUGACGGCCUUCGGGUUGUAAACCUCUUUUACCACUCACGCAGGCCCUAGGUUUUCCUGGGGUUGACGGUAGGUGGGGAAUAAGGACCGGCUAACUACGUGCCAGCAGCCGCGGUAAUACGUAGGGUCCGAGCGUUGUCCGGAAUUAUUGGGCGUAAAGAGCUCGUAGGCGGCGUGUCGCGUCUGCUGUGAAAGACCGGGGCUUAACCCCGGUUCUGCAGUGGAUACGGGCAUGCUAGAGGUAGGUAGGGGAGACUGGAAUUCCUGGUGUAGCGGUGAAAUGCGCAGAUAUCAGGAGGAACACCGGUGGCGAAGGCGGGUCUCUGGG